CUACCAUCCAACCGCCACCUUUCCUCCCCCGCCCGAUCAGCACCCAUGGGACCUCCCUGGAACCACACAGGCCAUGGGUGAGUAAACAAGAGGCGCUUGAACCUGGAGCCCCCCGGCCUGAACCUGGAGCUGUUCUUACCGAACAAAUAUUAAUCAUGGCAAUUGGGAAAUAACUGAGCACCAACCCUGGCCCAGGCAUUCAACAUCUUGCCAUCCUGAGGUGGUGGCUGAUGCCUGGAAUCCCAGCACUUUGGGAGGCCGAGGCAGGUGGAUUGCUUGAGCCCAGGAGUGCGAGAACAGCCUGGGCAACAUGGUAAAACCCCGUCUCUACUAAAAAUACAAAAGUUAGCUGGGUGGGGUGGCAUAUGCCUGUAAUCCCAGCUACUCGGGAGGCUGAGGCAGGAGAAUCGCUUGAACCCAGGAGAUGGAGGUUGCAGUGAGCGGAG
rnacentral:lncRNA from 10 species